rnacentral:rRNA from 1 species
CCUACGGGUGGCUGCAGUGGGGAAUAUUGGGCAAUGGGCGCAAGCCUGACCCAGCAACGCCGCGUGAAGGCAGAAGGCUUUCGGGUUGUAAACUUCUUUUGACAGGGAAGAGCAGAAGACGGUACCUGUCGAAUAAGCCACGGCUAACUACGUGCCAGCAGCCGCAGUAAUACGUAGGUGGCAAGCGUUGUCCGGAUUUACUGGGUGUAAAGGGCGUGUAGCCGGGCUGACAAGUCCGAUGUGAAAUCCGGGGGCUCAACCCCCGAACUGCAUUUGAAACUGGCUGUCUUGAGAUGUCGAGAGGUAUGCGGAAUGCGCAGUGUAGCGGUGAAAUGCUUAGAUAUUGCGCAGAACUCCGAUUGCGAAGGCAGCAUACCGGCGGCGAUCUGACGCUGAGGCACGAAAGCGUGGGUAUCGAACAGGAUUAGAUACCCGAGUAGUC